rnacentral:rRNA from 1 species
UACGGGGGGGGCAAGCGUUGUUCGGAAUUACUGGGCGUAAAGGGCUCGUAGGCGGCCAACUAAGUCAGACGUGAAAUCCCUCGGCUUAACCGGGGAACUGCGUCUGAUACUGGAUGGCUUGAGUUUGGGAGAGGGAUGCGGAAUUCCAGGUGUAGCGGUGAAAUGCGUAGAUAUCGGGAAGAACACUCGUGGCGAAGGCGGCUCUCUGGGACGGUACUGACGCUGAGACGCGAAAGCGUGGGGAGCGAACAGG